rnacentral:rRNA from 1 species
GUCGAACGCUGGCGGCGUGCUUAACACAUGCAAGUCGAACGGAAAGGCCCUGCUUUUGUGGGGUGCUCGAGUGGCGAACGGGUGAGUAACACGUGAGUAACCUGCCCUUGACUUUGGGAUAACUUCAGGAAACUGGGGCUAAUACCGGAUAGGAGCUCCUGCUGCAUGGUGGGGGUUGGAAAGUUUCGGCGGUUGGGGAUGGACUCGCGGCUUAUCAGCUUGUUGGUGGGGUAGUGGCUUACCAAGGCUUUGACGGGUAGCCGGCCUGAGAGGGUGACCGGCCACAUUGGGACUGAGAUACGGCCCAGACUCCUACGGGAGGCAGCAGUGGGGAAUAUUGCACAAUGGGCGGAAGCCUGAUGCAGCAACGCCGCGUGCGGGAUGACGGCCUUCGGGUUGUAAACCGCUUUCGCCUGUGACGAAGCGUGAGUGACGGUAAUGGGUAAAGAAGCACCGGCUAACUACGUGCCAGCAGCCGCGGUGAUACGUAGGGUGCGAGCGUUGUCCGGAUUUAUUGGGCGUAAAGGGCUCGUAGGUGGUUGAUCGCGUCGGAAGUGUAAUCUUGGGGCUUAACCCUGAGCGUGCUUUCGAUACGGGUUGACUUGAGGAAGGUAGGGGAGAAUGGAAUUCCUGGUGGAGCGGUGGAAUGCGCAGAUAUCAGGAGGAACACCAGUGGCGAAGGCGGUUCUCUGGGCCUUUCCUGACGCUGAAGAGCGAAAGCGUGGGGAGCGAACAGGCUUAGAUACCCUGGUAGUCCACGCUGUAAACGGUGGGUACUAGGUGUGGGGUCCAUUCCACGGGUUCCGUGCCGUAGCUAACGCUUUAAGUACCCCGCCUGGGGAGUACGGCCGCAAGGCUAAAACUCAAAGGAAUUGACGGGGCCCCGCACAAGCGGCGGAGCAUGCGGAUUAAUUCGAUGCAACGCGUAGAACCUUACCUGGGUUUGACAUGGAUCGGGAGUGCUCAGAGAUGGGUGUGCCUCUUUUGGGGUCGGUUCACAGGUGGUGCAUGCCUGUCGUCAGCUCGUGUCGUGAGAUGUUGGGUUAAGUCCCGCAACGAGCGCAACCCUUGUUCACUGUUGCCAGCACGUUAUGGUGGGGACUCAGUGGAGACCGCCGGGGUCAACUCGGAGGAAGGUGGGGAUGACGUCAAGUCAUCAUGCCCCUUAUGUCCAGGGCUUCACGCAUGCUACAAUGGCUGGUACAGAGAGUGGCGAGCCUGUGAGGGUGAGCGAAUCUCGGAAAGCCGGUCUCAGUUCGGAUUGGGGUCUGCAACUCGACCUCAUGAAGUCGGAGUCGCUAGUAAUCGCAGAUCAGCAACGCUGCGGGAAUACGUUCCCGGGGC